rnacentral:rRNA from 1 species
AGUGAACGCUGGCGGCAGGCCUAACACAUGCAAGUCGAACGGCAGCACAGUACGAGUUUGCUCUUCCCGGUGGCGAGUCGGGGACGUGAGAGGUGUAUAGCGGACUCUACUUUUUCGUGGGAGAUCACGUAGGGAAACUUACGCUAAUACCGCAUCCGCCCUAGGGGUGAAAGCGGGGGAUCUUCGCACCUUGCGCGAAUGAAUGCGCGGAUGUGGGAUUAGUUAGUUGGCGGGGUAAAGGCCCACCCAGGCGCCGAUCCGUAGCUGGUCUGAGAGGAGGAUCAGCCACACUGGAACUGAGACACGGUCCAGACUCCUAUGGGAGGCAGCAGUGGGGAAUAUUGGACAAUGGGCGCAAGCCUGAUCCAGCCAUACCGCGUGGGUGAAGAAGGCCUUCGGGUUGUAAAGCCCUUUUGUUGGGAAAGAAAAGCAGCAGGUUAAUACCCCGCUGUACUGACGGUACCCGAAGAAGAAGCACCGGCUAACUUCGUG